UGAUGAGGUAGAGGCGCGGUAUUUAAUAGUCUGUAGUGGAGCUUGAGAAGCUAGGAUGCUAGAGAGAAGGAAAUAUCGCCGAAGCUUGUAAUAUUCUCAGUAUUGCUUGCUGGGUCUGCAGUUAAGAACUGCAGGACUGUCUCAAUGAACUUACCCGGUUUGUUGAGUUGUGCUAUCUCAUUU
rnacentral:ncRNA from 2 species